UGUGAUGCCAUCCUCCAGGGGAUCUUCCCAACCCAGGGACUGAACCCACAUCUCUUACCAUCUCCUGCAUUGGUAGGUGGGUUAUUUACCACUAGGGCCACCUGGGAAGUCCUUCAACUCUCCUGGAGAUGGGCAUAUUGAUGGAUCCAGUAGGCCAGUGAUUCAUGGAAUCAACCAUGGUUUUAUUAACAGGUUCAUCUGACAGUGGCCAUUGACAUGCAGAACCCAGCGGAAAUAAUCCAGCAGCUGGCAGUCAGCCUGGAGACUUAACCUUGUUCAAGAUUAGAACUUUCUAUUGUUAAAAUAGUUCUUUUCCUCCAGUAUUCAUCCUGUGGUAGAAGAACUGAAGUCUGACCUGAGAGGUGCAGAUUGGCUUGGGAUAAGGGGUCAUCUCUAACUCUGAGGGCUCAGGACAUAGGGAGAUUCAUUAUCACCAACAGCAGGGAAACUCGGCAACUCUGGGGCUUCCCUAGUGGCUCAGUUGGUAAAGAAUCUGCCUGCAAUGCAGGAGACCCAGGUUCAGUUCCUGGGUUGGGAAGAUCCCCUGGAGAAGGGAAUGGCAACCCACUCCAGUAUUCUUGCCUGGUGAAUUCCAUGGACAGAGGAGCCUGGUGGGCUACUGUCCAUGGGGUUGCAAAGAGUCAGACACAACUGAGCAGCUAACACACUUCGGCAACUCUAGUUGAAAGCCUGGGCGUUCCUUUGACUGCCUGUACGCUCCAACCAAGCACUGCUGUGCCCAUUCCUCUAGCUGGGCUGUGAAAUCUGCCACUGGAACUCAGAGGUUGCGGACUGGUGACUGACGGUUGUGUUUUAUUUAGCCCAGUGUUUAAAAAACAACAUCUAAAAACUGAGUGUUUACAUAAAAAUUGAUUCCUGGCUUCUCUUUAAAAAAAGAUCAUGAAGACCUGACAAAUGAGCGCAUGGUAGGAUCCGCUGAAGCUGGGUAGGUUGGAAAGCCUGCCUUUCAGGUCAUCACAAUCUCCAUCAGUUACCGUUUGCCCCUUGCUCUUUAUAGGAGGGAACCAGGUCCCUGUCGUGCUGCUGUAGCAGAAGUGGCAGUACAGCUGAUGGGCCGGGGGUUCAGGUAACCUGCUGGCCUCUCCAAACUCUGGAGCUGGCAACGCUAUUUGAACACACUUUAUCCCCUGAACCUGGUUCAUUUCCUCCCAAAUCCUUGAUUAUUUUCAAGGCGCUGCAGCUACCAUCACCACCCACUUCAGGGUGACAGUGUGCUGUUUCCGUGUGCCUUAUAUGAACAUCACCACGAAUGGGAGACUGGUUUAUGCAUCAGGGGAGGGCCAGCCGGGUCCCCUUGGUGUCAGGGGCCUUGUCCAGCCUGCCUGCCUGACAGCAGGCCCAAUUGCCAGGGCCUGUCUUCCCCUAGACACGCAGGUCACACAUCCUAUAUAGUGCGAUUCUGUGGUCUGAAAUCAUAGUAGAACCACUGUAGAAGAACAUUUGCCUCCUUUAUCCACCGAUGCCUGAGAACCAUUGUUCUGGCGCCUGGCAGGUCAACCUUAUGGGACAGUUUGAGAGGUCACACUGCUCGAAUCUGUUGCCCUGAUACUCUGAAACCUUCAGAGCCAGGUUAAAUAUGGGUGUGGCUCAGUACACAAACUUAACAGAAUGUGGGUGUGACACUUGAAGAUAGGAUGGACAGUGUCCCCAGAUUCAUGUAUGCUGUGUUGUGUUGGGCCCUGUUCUCCAGGGAGUUGUGACCAAGCCACUCCCCAGACCUCCCCUUCCUUCUUCAUGACAGACCUUCUCUGCCACUUCAGGCAGACCAGAGAGUUACAAGGGCAGAUGCCCCACAUGUGCUGCCUCUGGGCUCCAUCCCUCGAUUGUGGCUGGUGGGUGGGCAACCCAGAAACUCUUGCCUGUGUGAGAGUGUGUGUCAGCAGCCCCGGCCUCACCCGUGAUUCAGAAAAAGACAUCAACAAGGCAGAACCCGUGUGAAUCCAUGUCAUGUUCACAUGAAGACAACAGACAAUAUCCAACAUGUUCUAAAACAGCUUCUCAGGAAAGGGCAGGUGGCUCCCCAUGGGCUUGUUCUAAACCAGUCUCCUAAGAGUGAUCGAAACAAGACUACAGAAACCCCCCUGACCCCAAAACAGAACAUCACAACUAUGUAGCAUCUGAAAAUCAAAACAAGACACUGGAUGUUGACUUUAACAUAUAAAAAUACUAUAACAAAAAUGAAAUACAAAUAUAUAUUAGAAUCUGUUAAGUAUUCUGUAUAAAGAGAUACUUUCAUGGUUAGGCUAACAGCAGGCAAAGAGGAGAUAAAGUCCAGCCUUUUCCGUUUCUGACAUCUUCAGGGGGAGCCCAGGCCACUGCCGCCUACAUCGCUGACCAAAAGCAGCAGCACCCACAGGACUGGCCCUGCUUGUGUCUCUUCAGUGGAAUCAGCUGAUGGCAACAUCAGAGUGAACUGGAGGUCUUUACCAAAGGGGUGACAGGCUUGGAAACGAUUUCUCAGGUGAUUUCGCAGCAGCUUUCUCCCAGGACUCAGUGGGCCUAAAUGCAAAUAGGCAAGAUGCGUGGUGGUCCAGCUCCUUAGCAACUUUUGGGUUGGUGGUUCAGUUGAUGAAAAGUUGAUCCUGGGGCACACAGGCCUCUUGGGCCCCCUUGCUGUACUCACUCGAUGAUGGAUCCCAAUCUUCCAGCUCGACAGAGGGUGAGAGUGGAGCUGGGCUGGGUUGUGGGGUGUGGUGGAGGGUUGGAUGGGGACAGCGGCCAGCUCACAGAGUGCUCCCUAACACUCCAUCCUCUGCCCUCCCAACCCCAGGACUGCAGGACUCCUGGCAGCCAGCACCUAUCUGAUGUCCUUUCCACCUUCUGCAGAGUGAAGAGGUCCUGCCUGUCAGUGCCCCUCAAGCCCGGGGAGUGGCUUCUGCAAGUCAGCAGGCAAUGGUGGUGGCUAGGGGAAGUUUCUCUCCUGGAGCCACAGUGGAAGGGUGUACCUUGUUGCUCAGUCAUCCCACCUCCCCAUCAGCUGAGCAGACAGAGGCCAUGGGGAAGAAGUUUGCCUGGAGUGACAGAGCCAGCAGAGGUUUCCUGAUGUCUGAGCCACUGCUCCCAACAGGUCGGCAGCACCAGGAGCUCUGAGCCCAGUUUACACGGGAGGAGACCUCUCCCUGGACCUGCAGCCUGGCCCAAUCCCCCUACACCCCCAAGGACGCCUGCCAAGGGCUAGCCAGCAGCUGAUGGCUGGCUCGUGGCUGGGGAAGCCCAGGACCAAUGCCUCCUUGGUGGCUUAUGUCUGGAGAUGGUGAUGUUUAUUCACCUGAAACCAAGAACCCCUCUGUCCUCUUUGGUGGGGUCCCCACCCUAAACAAUCCCAGCGGUCAUUUUCCUCCACACGAGCACCCUCCUUGAAGUUGUUAAGUCAUUCCAUAACUUUAGGAUUCAGAGGUCUGGUCCUAAGAUCUACAGCCACCCCCAGGCCCGUUCCCAAGCAGGCUGUGGCUUCCAUUCAGCCCCAGGGGCAGAGGUUGGUCCCGUCCUGGCCAGCAGGAGGGCGCCCUUUCCCUCCGCAGCCCGGCCUACCACCCGCAGACGCGCAGCAAAAGCUAAGAGCUAGGCCGGCUGCCCCAGGGGAGGCUGGGAGUACUUCAGGGUUAUCUGUAGUGAGCAAGGGGGCUUCUGGGGCCUGCCCGGGCCACAGGUGAGAGGGGACGUCUGGUUUGGGAAGGGGCAGUCCCUUCCUGAGACCCAGGAAGCAGGCAAAGAGGAGGUGUCACCAUUCUGCACUUCUUGGCCUGACCUCACGCACACAUUCAUUCAACAAAUAUUUAUUAAGCGCCUAUUUGUGCAAGGCACUUCCGGAGAGGGCGGAUUGCAGCCCCGGCCACGCCCACCCGCCCCGCCCCGCCCUGCCCUGCCAGUUGCGGCGCCCUCUGCUUUAGAAAAGAGGUUCUGGCCUGACCCGCCACCGGAAGGCGGGGUGCCUAGGCGUCUCGGUGGUGAUGGCCAGCACCCCGGCCCAGAUGCCGGCCACUCAGUCUCUGCUGCGGCCGCGCCCCCUCUCCCGCCCUCUCCCCUCCCCGUGCAUUCCAGGCGCUACGCGCAGAGGGCACAGCCACACUUGGUGGGCUUCUCCACCUCCUCGGCAAAAGAGGUCCCGUCGCUGCACUCAAAGGUGAACUUCCUUCGCUUCAGCCGCAGGCCCUGGCAGCAGCCCUGGCCCGGACAUGAGCCCCGGCACUCUACCCACGACAGCGGGCGCGUGGUCCGGCAGAUGGCAUAGCCCCUCUGGACCUGGUGAAAGUCCCGGACAGGGUCCCCCCGGCAUUCGGACUCUGGAUGGGACAGACACCAAGAGAAAGCCUCAGGGCACACCCGAGGGCCGGCUCUGCCCUGGGGAGGCAGAAGGAAGAGGAGCAGGAAAAACGAGCAGGAGUCGGGGACAGCAUCCUUGGACACAGCCCUCUAGCUCUCAGACCCCACCUCCAUCCCCGCAUCCUCCCUGCCCUGCAUGCACAUGCACAUGCCUCCUCCUGGGCCCACAGUGAGGUCAGAGGAAAGGAAGAAUAUUCUAGCUGCCAAGAACCUCCAGGACAGAUUGGGCUGUGCCAGUAAGGUGGGCUCAAGAAGUGGCUAGAAGCCUGGGAGGCAAUGAUGUCAGAGAUGGAAUUGGAGCCAGAGAGUCUGGCCUAGGGGACCUGAAAGUGCCUGAGUUCUGGAUUUCUCAGGCUCCUCCCUACCCUCUUCAGUGGAAGCCCCUUGACCAUCUUGGUCAUGUGGGCUAGAAAGGCCUGGGAAGGAGUCCCCAACUCUCAGACCUCCUGCUGCUCUCUAGGUCCCAAGGUGAUGGGCUAAGAUGCUAUUACCCUGGUGGUCUCUUCUGUAAGGAGAGACCCCAGCCAGAAGGGGCACUGAGCCCAGAUAAAGGGGCUGCAACGCAAGCUGGGCCAGGGAGAGAUAGAGCAUUGGUCUGGGAGUGGGGCUCAGAGCCCAGAAGGUUGGGGGCACUACUGUCCACAAGGAGGGGAGGAGGCACAGAGGGGCCGCUGAGGUUGGGAAAAAAAAAAGUCAAGUCGCUAAAGCCAGCUGUUGGGAGGGACCCUGGAGAGGGCAUGUCAGGAGGGGGGCCCCUGACCUUGCUCACACAGCUCGCCCGAAAAGCCGGGGUCACACACACAGUGUGCCCCCUUGGUGGCUGAGGCCUGGCAGUGGCCAUGCAGGCACCGCAGGCCCCCACAGGGGUCUGCAGGUGCCCCAGCCUGGUUGCACAGGGCCCCUGAGUACCCAUCCUGGCACUGGCAGCUGUAGGAAAGAGCAUCCAGAGGCACGCACUUCCCGUGGACACACCUGGGGGGACAGAGAAGAGGCGCUGUGAGGACAGGCCGCAGCCAAUCCAAGCCCGCCCGAGGGGAGCCCUCCCCACGCCCCCACCAGCCCUGCAGCCCUGGGCUUCAUGGGAUGUUAUUCUGUUCCCAAAACUGAAACAAAGGGAGCAAAAUGUCCUUCUGUGUUUGUCCCUAGGGUCCUUUGCCUGUUAAUAAAAACUGAAAACCAAGAAAAAUUAAUAAAACCCUGUGUUAGGC